rnacentral:rRNA from 1 species
UACGUAGGGACCAAGCGUUGUUCGGAUUUACUGGGCGUAAAGGGCGCGUAGGCGGCAUGACAAGUCACUUGUGAAAUCUCUGGGCUUAACCCAGAACGGCCAAGUGAUACUGUCACGCUAGAGUGCAGAAGGGGCAAUCGGAAUUCUUGGUGUAGCGGUGAAAUGCGUAGAUAUCAAGAGGAACACCUGAGGUGAAGACGGGUUGCUGGGCUGACACUGACGCUGAAGCGCGAAAGCCGGGGGAGCAAACGGG